rnacentral:rRNA from 1 species
GUGCCAGCAGCCGCGGUAAGACGAACCGUGCGAACGUUGUUCGGAAUCACUGGGCUUAAAGGGCGCGUAGGCGGGUCAUCAAGUCAAGGGUGAAAUCCUCCAGCUCAACUGGAGAACUGCCUUUGAUACUGGUGGUCUUGAGUGGGGUAGGGGCAUGCGGAACAAUGGGUGGAGCGGUGAAAUGCGUUGAUAUCCAUUGGAACUCCGGUGGCGAAAGCGGCGUGCUGGACCUCAACUGACGCUGAGGCGCGAAAGCUAGGGGAGCAAACGGGAUUAGAUACCCCGGUAGUCC